CACCCUUAAGUCAGUUCCUCCCCGCUAACCCAACCCGUAGCGUGACCUUUCCGAUGUGUUUCCACUGGUUUUUCGGCGAUCCAAACUCGCCACCACCUGCAAACUAACCAUCAUUUUCUCCUCUUCCAUCUCCAACCAAAUUUCACUAGGUUUAACCUUGAAUUCAUGCAGAACGAAACCCGUGGGUUCCAGGGGUGCCACGGCAAAGAUUCGCCGAUCGUGAAAGCUACGUCGACCACCACCACCAUCAAACCACUCACCUUGAACCCAGGAACAAAGCCCACACAAGUUUGGGGGCGUCUGGUUCGAUUUGAGGACGAAUUGGAGAGCACCCAUUUCUAGGAUUUUGACGGGAUCGAGGGCAAUUUGAGCUAUUUCCCAGUCAAAUUGGACCUCAACCUAAGCAUGUUGGCGGGAAGCGACGUCAUCCUCACUAGUACGAGCAGUUCUCGGGCAAUAAAAUCAGAGUUAGGAUCGAGGCACAUGAUCCCGGCGUCAUGGUAAUUUGGCAUAGGUAUCCUCGAGUCUUCUCAGUAUAAGUAUCAUUUCCUUGUUCGUAUCGUUUCUUAGUAAUUCUUCCAUAUUAUUAUUAGUAGUUGUAUGCUCUAUACAUGUUCCUAUAAUAUAAUUUUACAUUUUAAUUGCAUAUUCUUUAUUUGUAUGCAUGUUUAAAAUGGCUUUGUCACCGUUGGGUGUCGACCAGCAUAUGCUUACCUUGGUAUGUGGGGAUAUCGAGGUUGGGGCGUGUCAAGUAAGGCCUGAAACAUUGCAUAAAUUGAGGCUAGUACUUAAGAAUAUUAACAUAAAGCCUUACAUUAGUUUUAAAACAUCAUGGAAAGGCUAAGGUGAAAACAAGUAGAUUUAAUGAGAUUUUUUGCCACUCAGUACUACGAUCUGGUAGUAUUCCUCUCUACUUGGAAGUGGGAGGUCCUAAGUUUGAAUCUUGUGAAUGGCGAAUUUGAAACCAAAUUAGGCUGCCCUUUGUGUGGCUUAGCCGAA